UCUCACGUGUGGCGGCUCCGCGACGGCUGCUCGCGUUGCGAACUCGGUGCCGCCUGCCGUGUCCGGCCCCGAGCGUUCCCCGGGUUCAGCAUCUUCCGAGGGACCGCCUCCGCUCCUUCUUCUCGCACACACCUCGCUGCUCAUUGCUCCAGUUACACUUUGGCCGAGCAAACAGCCAGAGCUUUGUCAUUAGUGAAAAACAAAGCGCUCUGUGCUGAACCGCUUGCUACAUCCAUUACGGGAAGGACCAUGGGGAUUUCUGACAUGUUCUUUCAAAGGCCUUGCUUUUGAUACACAUUGGUACUUUGUGCUCGUUUGGGCUGGGAUAGAAUUACUUCUCACGCCGGAUUGUGUGGGGGUGUGGGGUUUGAUCUUUGAGGGUCCCUUCCAACUCAGCUUAUUCAGUGAUUCUGUGAUUUGUGUUGAACACAGGGUGGAUAAUACAGAGAUAUUUCUGUUAUUGCUGAACAGGACUUAAACAGAGCAAAGGCAUUUGCUGCUUUUUGUACUGCCAUGCUGGUAAGGAUGUUUGGGCUGAAUGAAAGAUUGAGAAGAGACAGCUGGGACAGAUGUUGACAAGUGACAGGAUAUUUUUGAUCAGAUGGCAUCAUGCUCAGUAUAUAAAGGAGAAGAAGGGAGAGAAUGUUAGGGGUGAUGAUGUUUGCCUUCCCAAGCAAUUGCUACAGGUGAUGAAGGCCUGGCCUCCUGCAGAUGGCUGAACACCUUCCUACCCAUGAGAAACAGUGAAUUAAUUCCUUAAUUUGCUUUGCUUGUACGCUUGUGGCUUUUGCUUUUCUUGUUAAACUGUUUGUAUCUCAACCCAUGAGUUUUCUACUUGUUAUCCUUCCAAUUCUCUCACCAGUCCUGAUGGUGGGGCAACAAGUGAGUGACUGUGUGAGGUUUGGCUCCUGGCUAGGGUUAAACCAUGACCCGCUGCAGCUAGCAUAUAUAUAUAUAUAUAUAUGGAUUUGCUGAAUAAGGUGAUGCUUGGGUGGUCAGAUGCUUUCCAAAUAGGUAGAGUUCUAACAAAACUGUUCCUGCUGUCAGCUGGGACAUAGGGAUAUAUGUAGUAUGUAAACUCUUAAGUUAUAUGCAGAAAGUUUUUGUUGACACGUAACUAAAAAAAGUUGUUUUCCAGAGAAAAGUUGUAUUAAACUUAAAUGAGUCAUUGUUUUGUGACCACCAUUAUAAACUACUAGUUGCUGUACUGUAGUUUAAUAUCUCCUUGUGUUAUCUGAAGAGUAUCAGAAUCUGCCCUUUUUGUUUUCCAGGGGCAUCAAAUAAAAUACACUUUGUUGGGCCCUUGAAAUAUCACAGCAAGACAAAAUAUGUAGUAUUAUUUAAGUCAGGUUUUAUAAGCACUGUGAUUGAGCUGUUGAAACAAAGUAUAAACUUGCCCUUUCUCAA